rnacentral:rRNA from 1 species
UUCCAGACUCCUACGGGAGGCAGCAGUGGGGGAUAUUGCACAAUGGGGGGAACCCUGAUGCAGCGACGCCGCGUGGGUGAAGGAGUGCUUCGGCAUGUAAAGCCCUAUCGGCAGGGAAGAAGCAAGACGGUACCUGACUAAGAAGCCCCGGCUAACUACGUGCCAGCAGCCGCGGGAAUACGUAGGGGGCGAGCGUUAUCCGGAUUUAUUGGGUGUAAAGGGUGCGUAGACGGGAAAUUAAGUUAGUUGUGAAAUCCCUCGGCUCAACUGAGGAACUGCAACUAAAACUGGUUUUCUUGAGUGUUGGAGAGGAAAGCGGAAUUCCUAGUGUAGCGGUGAAAUGCGUAGAUAUUAGGAGGAACACCAGUGGCGAAGGCGGCUUUCUGGACAAUAACUGACGUUGAGGCACGAAAGUGUGGGGAGCAAACAGGAUUAGAUACCCCUGUA